rnacentral:lncRNA from 1 species
ACGCGGGGAAGAAAGUUCCCUAAGAGAUGCCAGCGAGGAUGCCACUGCCCCCACCUUAUGAUCCAGCUCCAGGCGGUAGGGGACCGGCUGGAUCCUGCGUCGGGGCCGCAGGCCGGCGCGCGGUCCAGGCCCCGAGGACGGCACCACGAAGCUGGGCACCCCGAGCGCCCCGGAGAAGCUGAAGCCCCAGACGAAGACGCGAUCGGCGCGAGCCGCGCGCUCGCCCACGUACUGAAACACCGGAACGUCCGCCUCGGCCUCGGCCGCUUCUCGCCGGCUCCGCGAACGGCCGGCCGGUGUCCAGUGCUCGCGAGCCGGUGUCGGCCACCUCGGCCGCGGCCCCCGCAGAGCCCGGGCCGCCGCCAACAUCCUCCGCGUCACGCCUCAACCGCUUAUGGGCGCCGCCAUCUUGUGUCACCCUUGACCUCUAGCCUGGCGGAAGUAGAUACGGCCAUGCUUACUACUGGCUGAAGGCGACGCGCUAAGGGAAAGACAACCAUGUUUACUAUUGGCAGAUGAUUACUACUCCAGGAAAGCAAAGACUUGAGAAGGCUAUGGCUUCACCGUCUAUCCAUGAGUAGGGGACUUAAAUGAGUGUCAAGCUAUUAUUUGAAGAUGUCUGUGAAGUGUUCUAUGAUUCUUACUGCCCCUUUUUAAAUUCUGUGUGUGUGUGUGUGUGUGUGUGUGUGUGUUAGUUUUGGUGUGGAGUUACUUAGGUGGAGCUGGGAAUUGAACCCAGGUCCUCACACAUCCUUAGGGUAUAGGUUAACACAGACUACUCUCCCAAUUCCAAGAAGUGUUUUGUAUAAAUACUGAAAGGAGACAGAGGGAACAUCCUAGAUGCUUAUCUCAUGGAAGCAAAACUGGGGAAGGUAGCUGGGCACAGUGGUUCACACCUGUAACCCCAACUUUAGGCUGAGGCAGGAAUAUUGCUGCAAAUUGCAAACCACCCUAGAAGAAAGAAAACCUAUUAAUAUAUAUGGUUUGUUUGUUUGUUUGUUUGUGACAGAAUCUCAUUAUUUAGCCCUAACUGGCCUGGAACUUGCUUUGUUCCUGUAGACCAGGAUAACUCAAACCUGCCCCUGCCUCCUGAAUGGUGUGUGCCACCAUACCCAGCACUGAUUGGUUGAUUUAGUUUAUUUUAGGCGGUUUUAUUUCAUGCAUAUGGGUACUUUACCUGCAUGUAUAUCUGUGUACCCUGCGUGUAUAGUGUCUGUGGAGGCCUCAGAAGAGGGUGUUAGAUUCUCUAGAACUGCAGUUACAGUUGAUACCCCACUCCCACACACCCCCAUGUGAAUGCUAGAAUUAGAACUCUGGUCCUCUGGAAGAGUAAACAGUAUUUUGUUUUGUUUGU